GUCACUUUGGCGGAGUGGUUAACGCGCUGCCCUGCUAAUGACAAGUUAGCAUGCUAGGCAGUUCCCUCGGGAGCGUAGGUUCGAAUCCUACAGGUGACG
rnacentral:tRNA from 1 species